GGACCCGUGGCGUAGUGGAUAGCGCCACCGACUUCUAAUCUGUUCUCGCUUCAGGUAUGCUCUGGUUCGAUUCCCGCGCACGGGUCCA